CUGACCGUCUGUAGGGCGUAUCGCUAGCUUGUAUGACGACAUCGAAUCAUCGGCUCACAGUCUAAGAGAUCUAGAUACGCCUGCAAGAAGACGAGCAAAACGGCCAAUUAUGACGUUCGUCGGCCGGUAGCUUCGACUAUUUGUAUUUCGCCCAACCUAGAGAGCGGAGCGAAUCCAACCUACUUGGUUCUUAGAUGUGCCUGCACUAUUGCUUUCUUCAUAACUUCUUGUCAAGGUGGAAUCUUCUCUUGUUUGGAGGUGCAAGACCAGGUCAAAGUGACGAUGAUUAUGGCGGUUUCCGGUCGUUUUGACUCGCGGUGUAAUCGUACAAGAUGCACCUGUCAGACAGGUUGCAGUGGCAGCAGAGGAGGAUGCAGAAGUUGUUUUCAGCAAUGUAGGACUUGUACCACUAGAUGCAGAUGCAGAGGCAACUGUAGAAAUCCUCACAACAGAUAUGGCGUGUUCCCUCAAUGCAAAGAAACUGUAGAGAGGAUGACUUGCAGUUAGGCUGGUCUGAUGUUGCUGUCAUUUCAUUCGAUUCAGUACGCACACCCUCUGACAUCGAUGCUUGUGCAUCACUACCACUUCAGGUUCAUGCCCAUGCUGAUGAUACAGAUAGCAACAGCUCAGACACUGAUUUAGAUUUGGAAUGGGAUGAUGGACUGUCAGAAACUGCAGUAAGCCUACGUGGGCAAACCCUUCGUCUGCCCAAACAUUUUCCCUCCUAUGGGGACACGGGCCAGAGAGAACUUCAGGCAGACAUUUCUGAUGUCAGUGACGAUGAAGAGGACUGAGGACUAUGAAGGUAUUGGUGAAACUGCUUUGCUGUUGUGUGUUAUAAAUUCUCUGGAUAAUAUAUAAUGUACUCGAUAUACAUGGCACUUUGGUUGUUUCAAUUAUGUAUUACUACCCAUGUAGUAGUUUACCUAAUUGUAAAUAACUUUACAAGUCUAAUGUGUAGUAAGAUGGAAAUUAUAGUUCAAAACGUCUGAAAAGGUAAUUUGGCUCAUCCCUAUUGGCAGUGUCUUCAGAUCUCUCUGUGUGUAUGUAGGUGGAGUCACACUGGUCAAGAAGUGCAGUGCCUCUUUCUGUUCUCAUUAGGUGCUCCCUGGUACGUAGCCUAAUUGCUAAGUCGACGUCUGUGUCAGACCAAUAUCUCUAGACUCACUUGGCCAUCUGCAUGCCGUAAUUGCAACGGCGUAUUGUACUAGUUUGUUGCAAUAGCAGUUUUGCGUAUACUGUAUUAAAAAUAUUCUAGCACAGUAAAUGACAGUCUACUAUGCCUUACCGUGGACAUCCA